rnacentral:rRNA from 1 species
UACAGAGGGUGCGAGCGUUAAUCGGAAUUACUGGGCGUAAAGCGUGCGUAGACGGCUAUCUAAGUCGGGUGUGAAAGCCCCGGGCUCAACCUGGGAAUUGCAUUCGAGACUGAAUAGCUAGGGUACGGUAGAGGGAAGCGGAAUUUCCGGUGUAGCGGUGAAAUGCGUAGAUAAUCGGAAGGAACAUCAGUGGCGAAAAGCGG